GGCACCUGGGAAAGCAGCAGAGGAUGGCCCAAGGGCUUGGUCCCUGCCACCCACGUGGGAGACCCAGAUGGAGCUCCAGGCUCCUGGCUCAGCCUGGUCAGCCCCAGCUGUUGCACACUCCCCAAAAGGGUGAGCCACACAGGAGAGGAUCGAGCUGCAGAGGUGACAGGGAAGAAUAUUUGCAGCCAGGGGUUCAAGCCCCCCCACCGCCCCCGGCCUCCUAGCACACAGCGUGGAGGGGGCCUUGGAUUUGGAAUAAGACGGAAGCGUCCAGCAUGCUCAUGGGCACUGUGGCAAGAUUGUCGUGUGCUGGCCUGCAGAGGGCGCCGGGUGCUGGGGAGCAGUGGGGCUGAGGCCAGGAGUGAAGGAUCUGGCGAGGCCACUGGGGCCCCAGGAGCUGGGAAGGAUGCCCGGGUGGGGUGGGGAAGGGUGUUCCAAGUCCUCAAGGAAAGGGGAACUUAUGCCUAUCCCUUGGUGGUGUGGCCUCCAAGCCAGGACAUCCAGAGAAGAGAGGAGAGUGGGGAGGAGGGGGAGAGGACUCCAGACACGAGCAGGAGACUCCCCAGGUUGAGCCCGCGUGGUGGUAGGCUCAAUGGGUUGCUGGUCACCAGAGGUGUGCUGUGGCUCCCAGCCUCAGCGGAGUCUGGGGAGGACGCAUCUCAGCGAGGGUGGAGGCGUGGCUAUUUCUGCCCGCCUCGCUCCCUGCAAGACCCACACCACAUCAGAAAUCCCAGGGCGUGGUGGCGGGUGCGUGGGCUUCUGGAGUUCCAGCACCGCUGUGCUCACCAGGACUUCACACGGUCAGCCCUAAGGCAGAGCCGGCUACCCCAUCUCUUGUCUCCCAUGGAUCUCCUCCCAUUCAGCUCUCUUGGGGACGCAAAUAGAAUACCCCUUCCCCCAAAUCCUCCAGCCUACUGCCCCACUCCCUUCUGGCCCUGUGAGCUCCUCCACCCUAAUUGUGGCAACCCUCAGGUCUCAAAUGGCCACAGCCUCCUGGGCUUGGGGUGGAAGUGGGAGUGGGAGCACCAACCCCCAGAAGCAGAGGCUGCUGGGACACUUGGCCCUGGCACCUGUCUCUGCUCUGGGAGGCCUGGGACAGCUCCCUCUGCUCCAUCCCCAGAGACACCUGAGCCGCUGACCAGAAUCCUCAAAGCUGUCGCUGCAGGUGCUGCGGGCCCCACGGAGGUGGUGCGUAGUCCUCUUGGCCUGUGCUUGGCUGUCCCGUGUCACAGCACGCGGAAAUUGCGCUCCGCGGGGGAAGCACGGCUUUCCAGCUGA
rnacentral:lncRNA from 1 species